CCUACGGGGGGCUGCAGUAGGGAAUUUUCGGCAAUGGGGGCAACCCUGACCGAGCAAUGCCGCGUGAAUGAUGAAGGUCCUCGGAUCGUAAAGUUCUGUUAUCAGGAAAGAACAUCAUGGAGAGUGGAAAGCUCCAUGACUGACGGUACCUGAUUAGAAAGCCCCGGCUAACUAUGUGCCAGCAGCCGCGGUAAUACAUAGGGGGCGAGCGUUAUCCGGAAUUAUUGGGCGUAAAGCGUGCGUAGGCGGUUACUUAAGUCUGGUGUAAAAACCCAAAGCUUAACUUUGGGAGGUCAUUGGAAACUGGGUAACUUGAGUAUGGUAGAGGUAAGUGGAAUUCCAAGUGGAGCGGUGGAAUGCGUAGAGAUUUGGAGGAACACCAGUGGCGAAGGCGGCUUACUGGGCCAUUACUGACGCUCAGGCACGAAAGCGUGGGGAGCAAACAGGAUUAGAUACCCUGGUAGUC
rnacentral:rRNA from 1 species